AACUGUCAGUUCAGUUUUCCACCGAGUAGACAGCCCAAAGGUAUAAAGAAUUGUGCGAAAACUGUAUUUUAUAUGCUGCAAAUUGAACAAAGGUGCUAAAUAAAGCUGGAAAAACAAUAAGCAGCCUUUAUAUUAAUGAAAUUUAAAUUAAAUUCUUAGCUAGUGUUGUGUCGCGAUUGUCUUUGCCAUUAUGGAAGCUCUCAUUCCGGUUAUAAAUAAAUUGCAAGAUGUCUUCAACACUGUUGGCUCGGAUUCCAUACAAUUGCCACAGAUUGUAGUACUUGGGAGUCAGAGUUCCGGCAAGAGUUCGGUCAUUGAAAGUUUAGUAGGCCGCUCCUUUUUACCACGCGGUACUGGUAUUGUGACACGUCGUCCGUUAAUUUUGCAGCUUAUUCAUUGUCCAUUAGACGAUAGGGAGCACCGAUCAGCGGAAAAUGGCACAGUCAACGUUGAUGAGUGGGGCAAAUUUUUGCAUACUAAAAAGAUAUUUACGGAUUUUAAUCAGAUUCGAAAUGAAAUCGAGGAAGAGACAGAUCGUGCUGCCGGCUCCAAUAAAGGCAUUUGCCCAGAACCUAUCAACUUGAAAAUAUACUCAACACGCGUUGUAAAUCUAACGCUGGUUGAUUUGCCAGGUAUCACCAAAGUGCCCGUUGGUGAUCAACCGGAAGAUAUUGAAGCACAAAUUAAAGAAUUGGUUUUGAAAUACAUCGAUAAUCCCAAUUCCAUAAUUUUGGCCGUAACCGCAGCCAACACUGAUAUGGCAACAAGUGAAGCCUUAAAAUUGGCUAAAAAAUGUGACCCUGAUGGUCGACGCACCUUGGCUGUGGUAACAAAACUCGAUCUCAUGGAUGCGGGUACUGAUGCCAUUGAUAUAUUGUGUGGUCGUGUGAUACCGGUGAAACUGGGUAUUAUUGGUGUCGUAAAUCGCUCGCAACAAGACAUUAUUGAUAAGAAGCAAAUUGACGACCAACUCAAGGAUGAAGCUGCAUUCUUGCAAAGAAAAUAUCCUACACUAGCAACGCGCAAUGGCACUCCGUACUUGGCAAAGACGUUAAACCGCUUACUCAUGCACCACAUACGCGAUUGCUUACCAGAUUUAAAAACACGAGUCAACGUAAUGUCAUCACAAUUCCAAUCAUUACUUCACUCAUAUGGCGAAGACGUGUCGGACAAGAGCCAAACGCUGUUGCAAAUCAUAACUAAAUUUGCUAGUGCAUACUGCUCCACAAUCGAGGGUACAGCACGAAACAUCGAAACAACAGAAUUAUGUGGCGGUGCACGCAUUUGCUAUAUAUUCCAUGAGACAUUCGGUCGCACUCUCGAUUCCAUACACCCGCUGUCUGGUUUGAGUAAAAUGGAUAUAUUGACGGCUAUACGCAAUGCGACUGGACCGCGGCCUGCGCUCUUUGUGCCGGAAGUAUCGUUUGAAUUGUUGGUAAAACGUCAAAUACGGCGCUUGGAGGAACCUUCCCUGCGUUGUGUAGAGUUGAUACACGAGGAAAUGCAGCGCAUAGUGCAACAUUGUGGUAAUGAAGUGCAACAGGAAAUGUUACGCUUCCCGAAGUUACAUGAAAAAAUUGUUGACGUUGUUACCCAGCUCCUGCGUCGACGCUUACCAGCCACAAAUGUUAUGGUAGAACAUUUGGUGGCUAUUGAGUUGGCAUAUAUAAACACCAAACAUCCAGACUUUCAUAAGGAUGCCGCGCUUGUACCCAGCUUACUGAAAGCGGAUCAUAUUAUUGAACCAUUCAACAAUUUGAGUGCACAAUUGCAAAGACGCACGAAUACUCCGCGUAAUUCUAACUCAUCGCCUCAGGUGUCAGCAACACAGCAGCAACAACAACAACAGCAGCAGCAACAGCAACAACAGCAACAUCAGCAACAACAACUUCAAAAUGAUACUCAAGAACAAAACCAUAUUGGUGAGAAUGCUGUCGGCCACAGCUGGCUAGCAACUAUUUUGCCUCCAGCACCAUCGACAUCGCCAGCCACACGUGCUCUGGAAAGUCAGGAUAACUCUGCAAGCAAUACACCAUUACAUAAUAAUAUUCAAAGCCCAAUCAAACCGGUUAACUUGUUGCCCGAUAUGCCGGCCCAUCAUGGUUCAAGACGUUUAACUGAUAAGGAACAAAAUGAUUGUGAUGUUAUUGAACGCUUAAUUAAGUCAUAUUUCUACAUUGUGCGCAAAUCCAUACAGGAUUCUGUACCAAAAGCUAUAAUGCAUUUCCUAGUUAAUUACGUUAAAGAUAACUUGCAGAGUGAGCUAGUCACACAUUUGUACAAGUCGGAAAAGGCCGAAACUUUACUCGAUGAAUCGGAUCACAUUGCAGUACGACGAAAAGAGGCGGCUGAUAUGUUAAAGGCGCUCACCAGGGCAAAUCAUAUAAUAAGUGAAAUCCGCGAAACGCACAUGUGGUAAAGAUGAUAAAUGCGAAUUUUUGUGGUAUAAAACGUAUUUAAAAUACAAGUCUUCGUUGUUUUUACAAUGCAAAAAAAAGAGAAACACCAGUAUGAAAAAAUUUCAAUAAUAAAAUAUAUUUGAACUAUUCUUGCAACGUCUAAGUUGUUAAAUUUACGAAAUUGUACUCUUAUGUUAGAUCUGUCAAUCGAUUUUGUAACCGAAGAGACUUGAGAAAGUAAAUGGGAAUGUUUUUAAAAACUCCACUUAAUGCACAGUUGAGAGUAAUUGAAUAUUAAAUGAUAAACACAGCAUACAUUUUGCAUUUAAUGUAUUUCGGUUAUCAAAAAUAUAUUAAAUAAUUUAGCAUCAAAAUUUUCCUUUUGAUUUAAAUGAAAUGAUCUAUAAAUUAUUGCAUGUUACCAGUCGAAAGUUAUUUUUUAUGCUGUGAAUGAUUAAAUAUGUAUCAAUAUUUGUUCGUUGCGUUUCUUGUUGUAUAGGAUUAAUUGUCUGAAAAAAUAGUAUUGUUAAAAAUUUUUUCAUACAAUAUUUCAUUUGGCACUUAUAAGCAAAUGCAUCUAGCGAAUUCAGUUUUUAGAGCAAAAUAAUGCAACUACUUAUGCGCUAUUAUAUACUUGUAUAACAGUGAAUAUAAAAUAACAUGAUUUCGCGUUGAAAAAAAUAAAAAUGAAAACGGAAA
rnacentral:misc_RNA from 1 species